rnacentral:lncRNA from 1 species
CUAGAUUCCUUCUAGCUCUCCUUUUAGAUAAAUCCCAAGUGAUAUAUAAAAAACACUGCUGCAAAGAGCAGCUUCGGGCAGUAGCUGCUGUGAGGGGACUAUCUGUACCCUUAAUGAUAAUCCUCCAAGUUAGAAACAUCUGAAACUGUUAAGCACCAGCCCAACCCUAUUUAGAUAAAUAAAGCAAGCAUUUGAAAAUUUCCUUUUCUAUGUGUCAGUCAGAUCUGUGAGAGAUACUUUAGUUUAAACCUCUAAAAGGGAGACAACCCUUUCUUAUACAUUUUCCUUCUCUUCCCCUUGAAGAAAAUCUCUAUGAUAAUUCUGUGAAAAGAUCCUUUUAAAAAGAAGAAAGUCUUAACUCAGAGUUAUGUUUUCCUAUUUAUUUGGUUGUUGGUUUUUUUUUUUAGUACAGUAAGGGUAUCUGUAGAAUACAUCCAUGUCAGAUUGUCAGCAAUCUUUAAAUGUAAAAUGUAGUGACUUAUAGAGCUGAACAAGCUGGAAAGGGGGACAAAACAGAGGACGUAAAUAAUGUUUUCAAAUAUCCUCCCCAAACAACUGUUUUGCUUGCUUUUUGCUUGCUUUUUAAAGGGAAAUCCAACAAUGCAUGUUGGAUGUUCAUUAUGAAGAAAGCAAAACAGCAGUUUCUAUAAAUCACACUGUAGUUCACACUCAAGUGAGACUACAUAUGGCAAAGGAGGAGAGCAGCCCCAGCCAUCUGUCUGAGAAUGGUUUUGUGCAAGGCCAAGUUCUUGUGAAGACAAAAGAAAACUUUGGGGAGUCAUGUUUUCCUGGAAGAGAGCUGUGCACUCCUUUUUACACUUUGCUGAAGCUGGUCGUAGCCUCCGGAAAGCCUAAUCUACGUUCUUUACUGUUAUCCUGGGUACCUGCUGCUCUCCAACAAUGUGACUCAAGAACUUUUCUUUUUGCACAACAGAUUGGCCCUUUUCAUUGAUUGGCAGCCUUCUUCCUUCUCAUCUCUUCAGACUACACAUAGUAAUGGUGAGGAAAAAGCACCCAUUUGCAUGAUUUUGUGUAUCGGAUUGUCAGAUGAUUCAGACAGUAAAGGCCAGUAA